ACGCGCGAGGAGACGAGACGCGCGAGGAGACGAGACGCGCGAGGAGACGAGACGCGCGAGGAGACGAGACGCGCGAGGAGACGAGACGCGCGAGGAGACGAGACGCGCGAGGAGACGAGACGCGCGAGGAGACGCGCCUAGGGGGCUGCCAGAACACAAAGGGAAAACAGCGACUUCUGGAUUGUCGCGUCCCGCAAGAGUUUGGCCCCUGCCCAAGACCCAGAAAGUUACUUCCCAGCCCAGAAUCUCCGCGGUGAGGACACGGAAUCUGCAUUUCACCAGAAGGAAGGAUUUAUGACUUGCAGCAAGUAAGGAGAACAUUGGGGAUCUUUCUCAAAGCAACAUCUCCCUGAACACCACAAAUGGGCAUACAGCCACUGGGUAAAUUGAAGGAAGUGUCUUGCCAAGACAAGACACUUGUUUACCUGUUCAGAACAUCACAUCACUGUUGUCCGGAAUGGCUAAGGUGUCCAAGAUGCCUGCAGACCAGCACACGUUCCUGCAUCUGCAGAGUGGUGCCCAUGUCCCCCGUUACGCUCACAGAGGAGCCAUCAUCCUACUCCUUCAUUCUGCCUCCUGGGUCUGCCUUUCUUAGUGCUCUUUACCAAGAUCUGAGCGAGCCUCAGCUUGCCCAUGCUCUCCGCCUCCCCCCUCCCUGACACAGGGCCCGCGCAGGGCUGCUUUAGAAGAUGCUCCGUGAGCACAGACAAGCCUGCAACCAGGUGAGCCAGUUCACAAACUGGACGACCAGUCAUCCAACAGAUACUCAUCCAGCAGAUACUCCCAGCCAACAAUAAAGCAGUAAUCACAGAUACUUAGCCACUGAUCUCACAAACCAUUCUCCAAGACAGAAGGACCUCCUCCACCUGCAGACUGGACAAGACUCCAUACUCUGAGUAAAAGGAAAACUGAAGGGGUCACAAGUGAACAGAGACGGUGAGACAAGGGACCCUGAUCUCCAAGGAUCAGGUACCAUCCACUGACAGCCCCAAGGGGCCUCAUGGGAGUCAUGACCCCACAAGCCACCCACGGAUUACAACUGUCCAGUCCCUCUCUGAUUUAUCUAUUAGAGACGCUCAUUCACUGACCCUUAAAGCCCUGACUGUCCACAGAUACGCCCAUGUACGGGUGGCGGUCACAUGAAAGCAGACCUUCCACAGCUGCCCAUACAUGAAACAGGGUCAAAGUCCCCCGCAGUCACUGGACGGGGACU